GAUGAACGCUGGCGGCGUGCCUAAUACAUGCAAGUCAAACGCUUCACUUCGGUGAAGAGUGGCGAACGGGUGAGUAAUACAUAAGUAACCUGGCAUCUACAGGGGGAUAACUGAUGGAAACGUCAGCUAAGACCGCAUAGGUGUAGAGAUCGCAUGAACUCUAUAUGAAAAGUGCUACGGGACUGGUAGAUGAUGGACUUAUGGCGCAUUAGCUGGUUGGUAGGGUAACGGCCUACCAAGGCGACGAUGCGUAGCCGACCUGAGAGGGUGACCGGCCACACUGGGACUGAGACACGGCCCAGACUCCUACGGGAGGCAGCAGUAGGGAAUUUUCGGCAAUGGGGGAAACCCUGACCGAGCAACGCCGCGUGAAGGAAGAAGUAAUUCGUUAUGUAAACUUCUGUCAUAGAGGAAGAACGGUGGAUAUAGGGAAUGAUAUCCAAGUGACGGUACUCUAUAAGAAAGCCACGGCUAACUACGUGCCAGCAGCCGCAGUAAUAC
rnacentral:rRNA from 1 species